CCUACGUGAGGCAGCAGUGAGGAAUAUUGGUCAAUGGGCGGAAGCCUGAACCAGCCAAGUAGCGUGCAGGAUGACGGCCCUACGGGUUGUAAACUGCUUUUAUACGGGAAUAACGCGCCUUACGUGUAGGGCUUUGCAUGUACCGUAUGAAUAAGGACCGGCUAAUUCCGUGCCAGCAGCCGCGGUAAUACGGAAGGUCCGGGCGUUAUCCGGAUUGAUUUGGGGUAAAGGGAGCGUAGGCCGCAUGUCAAGCGUGCUGUGAAAUGUCCGGGCUAAACCCGGGCCUUGGAGUGCGAACUGGCGUGCUUGAGUCCGCGGAAAGCAGGCGGAAUUCGUCGUGUAGCGGUGAAAUGCUUAGAUAUGACGAAGAACCCCGAUUGCGAAGGCAGCUUGCUGCAGCGGAACUGACGCUGAUGCUCGAAAGCGCGGGUAUCGAACAGGAUUAGAUACCCGGUAGUC
rnacentral:rRNA from 1 species